rnacentral:rRNA from 1 species
UUAACACAUGCAAGUCCAGCUUCAGCAUUUUAGUUUGCUUGCAGACUGAACAUGGCGACCGGGGGGCGGGUGAGUAACACGUAUCCAACCUGCCGAUAACUCCCGAAUAGCCUUUCAAAAGAAAGAUUAAUACCGGAUAGCAUACGAACAUCGCAUGAUAUUUUUAUUAAAGAAUUUCGGUUAUCGAUGGUGAUGCGUUCCAUUAAUUUGUCGGCGGGGUAACGGCCCACCAACACAACGAUGGAUAGGGGUUCUGACAGGAAGGUCCCCCAGCAUUGGAACUGAGACACCGUCCCAACUCCUACGGGAGGCAUCAGUGACGAAUAUUGGUCACUGCCCGAGAGCCUGAACCACCCAAGAAGCGUGAAGGAUGAAGGCUCUAUGGGUCGUAAACUUCUUUUAUAUGGGAAUAAAGUUUUCCACGUGUGGAAUUUUGUAUGUACCAUAUGAAAAAGGAUCGGCUAACUCCGUGCCAUCUGCCGCGGCAAUACGGAGGAUCCGAGCGUUAUCCGGAUUUAUUGAGUUUAAAGGGAGCGUAGGUGGAUUGUUAAGUCAGUUGUGAAAGUUUGCGGCUCAACCGUAAAAUUGCAGUGAAAACUGGCAGUCUUGAGUACAGUGGAGGUGGGCGGAAUUCGUGGUGUAGCGGUGAAAUGCUUAGAUAUCACGAAGAAACUCCGAUUGCGAAGGCAGCUCACUAGACUGUCACUGACACUGAUGCUCGAAAGUGUGGGUAUCAAACAGGAUUAGAUACCCUGGUAGUCCACACAGUAAACGAUGAAUACUCGCUGUUUGCGAUAUACAGUAAGCGGCCAAGCGAAAGCAUUAAGUAUUCCACCUGGGGAGUACGCCGGCAACGGUGAAACUCAAAGGAAUUGACGGGGGCCCGCACAAGCGGAGGAACAUGUGGUUUAAUUCGAUGAUACGCGAGGAACCUUACCCGGGCUUAAAUUGCAACAGAAUAUAUUGGAAACAGUAUAGCCGUAAGGCUGUUGUGAAGGUGCUGCAUGGUUGUCGUCAGCUCGUGCCGUGAGGUGUCGGCUUAAGUGCCAUAACGAGCGCAACCCUUAUCUUUAGUUACUAACAGGUGAUGCUGAGGACUCUAGAGAGACUGCCGUCGUAAGAUGUGAGGAAGGUGGGGAUGACGUCAAAUCAGCACGGCCCUUACGUCCGGGGCUACACACGUGUUACAAUGGGGGGUACAGAAGGCGGCUACCUGGUGACAGGAUGCUAAUCCCAAAAACCUCUCUCAGUUCGGAUCGAAGUCUGCAACCCGACUUCGUGAAGCUGGAUUCGCUAGUAAUCGCGCAUCAGCCAUGGCGCGGUGAAUACGUUCCCGGGCCUUGUACACACCGCCCGUCAAGCCAUGAAAGCCGGGGGUACCUGAAGUACGUAACCGCAAGGAGCGUCCUAGGGUAAAACUGAU